rnacentral:rRNA from 1 species
AUUGAACGCUGGCGGCAUGCCUUACACAUGCAAGUCGAACGGUAACAGGUCUUCGGAUGCUGACGAGUGGCGAACGGGUGAGUAAUACAUCGGAACGUGCCCGGUCGUGGGGGAUAACGCAGCGAAAGCUGCGCUAAUACCGCAUACGAUCUGAGGAUGAAAGCGGGGGACCGUAAGGCCUCGCGCGAUCGGAGCGGCCGAUGUCAGAUUAGGUAGUUGGUGGGGUAAAGGCUCCCCAAGCCGACGAUCUGUAGCUGGUCUGAGAGGACGACCAGCCACACUGGGACUGAGACACGGCCCAGACUCCUACGGGAGGCAGCAGUGGGGAAUUUUGGACAAUGGGCGCAAGCCUGAUCCAGCAAUGCCGCGUGCAGGAAGAAGGCCUUCGGGUUGUAAACUGCUUUUGUACGGAGCGAAAAGGCUCUCUCUAAUACAGGGGGCUCAUGACGGUACCGUAAGAAUAAGCACCGGCUAACUACGUGCCAGCAGCCGCGGUAAAAC